GACGAACGCUGGCGGCGUGCUUAACACAUGCAAGUCGAACGGAAAGGCCCUGCUUUUGUGGGGUGCUCGAGUGGCGAACGGGUGAGUAACACGUGAGUAGCCUGCCCUUGACUUUGGGAUAACUUCAGGAAACUGGGGCUAAUACCGGAUAGGAGCUCCUGCUGCAUGGUGGGGGUUGGAAAGUUUCGGCGGUUGGGGAUGGACUCGCGGCUUAUCAGCUUGUUGGUGGGGUAGUGGCUUACCAAGGCUUUGACGGGUAGCCGGCCUGAGAGGGUGACCGGCCACAUUGGGACUGAGAUACGGCCCAGACUCCUACGGGAGGCAGCAGUGGGGAAUAUUGCACAAUGGGCGGAAGCCUGAUGCAGCAACGCCGCGUGCGGGAUGACGGCCUUCGAGUUGUAAACCGCUUUCGCCUGUGACGAAGCGUGAGUGACGGUAAUGGGUAAAGAAGCACCGGCUAACUACGUG
rnacentral:rRNA from 1 species